UACGGAGGGGGCGAGCGUUAUUCGGAAUUAUUGGGCGUAAAGGGCGCGUAGGCGGCCCGGUAAGUCAAAGGUGAAAUCCCUCGGCUCAACUGAGGAACUGCCUUUGAAACUGUCGGGCUUGAGGCCGGGAGGGGGUGGCGGAAUUCCCAGUGUAGCGGUGAAAUGCGUAGAUAUUGGGAGGAACAUCAGUGGCGAAGGCGGCCCUCUGGUCCAGUACUGACACUCAAGUGCGAAAGCGUGGGGAGCAAACAGG
rnacentral:rRNA from 1 species